rnacentral:piRNA from 1 species
UCCGGCGAGAAACUCAGUGGGCUGUGUC